rnacentral:rRNA from 1 species
GAUGAACGCUGGCGGCGUGCCUAAUACAUGCAAGUCGAGCGAACGGACGAGAAGCUUGCUUCUCUGAUGUUAUCGGCGGACGGGUGAGUAACACGUGGAUAACCUACCUAUAAGACUGGGAUAACUUCGGGAAACCGGAGCUAAUACCGGAUAAUAUUUUGAACCGCAUGGUUCAAAAGUGAAAGACGGUCUUGCUGUCACUUAUAGAUGGAUCCGCGCUGCAUUAGCUAGUUGGUAAGGUAACGGCUUACCAAGGCAACGAUGCAUAGCCGACCUCAGAGGGUGAUCGGCCACCCUGGAACUGAGACACGGUCCAGACUCCUACGGGAGGCAGCAGUAGGGAAUCUUCCGCGAUGGGCGAAAGCGUGACGGAGCAACGCCGCGUGAGUGAUGAAGGUCUUCGGAUCGUAAAACUCUGUUAUUAGGGAAGAACAUAUGUGUAAGUAACUGUGCACAUCUUGACGGUACCUAAUCAGAAAGCCCCGGCUAACUACGUG